rnacentral:misc_RNA from 1 species
UGCUAAGCAGAAAACGAAGCGGACACCUCGGGAAUCGAAGGAAAUAAAUGCUUUGACUGAGCCGGACCAGAUACAGGAGAAGAUCGGAGUAGGAGAGAUCGGGAGAAAGGUCUGGCGUGAAGGAUCGGAAAAGGGAUCGUGUUGGAAAGAUCAGAAAAGAGGAGAGAUCGGGAAACAAGGAGAAUAAGACAACUUCCAACAACUGUCGUCAUAAU